rnacentral:rRNA from 1 species
UACGUAGGGUGCAAGCGUUAAUCGGAAUUACUGGGCGUAAAGCGUGCGCAGGCGGUUGUGCAAGACAGAUGUGAAAUCCCCGGGCUCAACCUGGGAACUGCCUUUGUGACUGCAAGGCUAGAGUACGGCAGAGGGGGAUGGAAUUCCGCGUGUAGCAGUGAAAUGCGUAGAUAUGCGGAGGAACACCGAUGGCGAAGGCAAUCCCCUGGGCCUGUACUGACGCUCAUGCACGAAAGCGUGGGGAGCAAACAGG